ACGAAGGUCUGCAGCUUCAUUCUUGAAGUCAGUGAGACCAAGAACCCACUGGAAGGAACCAACUCUGGACACAUCUUGGUGACCCAGAUGGGACUAGCGCCAAGUCGAUCGAGGCCAUCAAGCUACAGAUGGUCUUACAAAUGGAACCCUGAAUGAGAUCAACUCAAAACUUCUACCAAGGACCCCUGGAUCUACACACUGGCCCUUUGACUGGCCUAGAGAGUUCCCCUCUGGAGGACACUAACACUGCAGUGCCACUUUUUCACGCCUAUCCAGCAGGAAGUAGCUAGAGUGGUCAUCGCCCAAUUCCCAACAGUAGUUGGGGUGUCCUGUUUACAGGAAGGAUUGAGAGAUCUACUUACUGCAACAUUGUCCUACAUUCGUCUCUUCAGAACAUGUGUAUGAUGUGACUACAUCAGAGCAUUCAGUUGAGACAGGCAGCAGGAAGGGGCAAUAGCCUGGCAUUUCGGUGACACCUGGAAGGAUGACCCGGUUGUUGAUGCUCAGAGGUGCUACUCCAAUUGUGACUUGUGGACUAGUGCCCAUCCACAACUACUUGUUAAGUAUUUUUUCAAUGAGUGCUUUGUGAAGUGAGGGCCAGCAGCUACUACUUUACAAGUACUAAUAGUUAAAAUUCUGACCUUGCCUGUGCCCGACCGGAGCCAGCGGUUCUUCAAGCACCCAGCAUCCAGCGAGACGCGCAGCGCACCGAUGGAGGGGACACGGGCAGAGCAAUGGUGGCCAGGCUCGGCUGGGGCUGCUGCUGCUGGCACUGCUCCUACCCAUGCAGAUUUAUUCCAAUGAAACAACUGUUGUAACAGUUUCAAGUAGCUCCUCCCAGAAUACUUCGACUGCCCCAAAUCCAGCUAAUGCCACCACCAAGGCGGUUGGUGGUGCCCUGCAGUCAACAGCCAGUCUCUUCGUGGUCUCACUCUCUCUUCUACAUCUCUACUGUUAAGAGACUCAGGUCAAGAAACAUCUUCUAAACUUCCCCAUCUUCUAAACCCAAUCCAAAUGGCGUUUGGAAGUCCGAUUUGGCAAGGAAAAACAGGUCUUCUUCGAAUCUACUAAUUCCACACCUUUUAUUGAUAUAAAAUGUUGAGAAUCCCAAAUUUGAUCGGUUUGAAGAACAUGUGAGGAUCCCAAUUUGAUCAGUUUGAAGAACAUCUAGUUUGAAGAACUAGAUGAUGGAUGACAAUAUUAAAUUUGCUGGUGUUUCAUGUAUAAGAUGAAGGAAAGGCAACAUCCAAAAUAGCUAAGACAUGAUUUCCUUGAAUGUGGCCUAAGAAAUACUACCUUGAAAAUAAGAAUAGUGGCCGGGCGCGGUGGCUCAAGCCUGUAAUCCCAGCACUUUGGGAGGCCGAGGCGGGUGGAUCACGAGGUC